rnacentral:rRNA from 1 species
UCAGAUUUGAAAGCCCUCGGGCAUUGUAUUCUGAAGCCUUGGUCCUGAGAAUCGGUGUUUAAGUCUUCUGGAAAGGAGCGCCAUGGAGGGUGAUAGCCCCGUACGACACCACUCUCAUUGUAGGACUUUGGCAUGGAGUCGAGUUGUUUGGGAAUGCAGCUCAAAUGGGUGGUAUGCUCCAUCUAAAGCUAAAUAUCUGCGAGAGACCGAUAGCGAACAAGUACUGUGAAGGAAAGAUGAAAAGAACUUUGAAAAGAGAGUGAAAAAGUACGUGAAAUUGUUGAAAUGGAAGGAUAGGCCGCUAACCAUGUAGGGUCGUGUUCGAGGGGAAGAUAAAAGCUGAAGAAUGUAGCUCCUCGGAGUGUUAUAGCUUCAGUCCAUAUUCCCUCUCGAGCGCGAGGAU